CCCUCCUUCUCGGCUGAAUUCCCUGCUUUGGUCCUUCAAGAACUUCUGUUCUCGGUGAUUGGCCCCAGCGGAGCCGGCCCUGACCCUGGACUUAAAGGGAUUGCGCUCUCUAAGGGCGGACGGGAGGGAGUUCGCGGUGGUUCGUAGCGGAGCCCGACCACUAAUGUUCCAGGUGUUUCUGUUUGUUUUUGGCGCUGGAAGGAAUUUAGACAUCACCUGGCCUGGUCCUAGUCAGAAGCCCAGAGAGAUCGCGCUAUUUGUCCAACUCUGCACAGCGCGCCUCUGCUUUCCACCGGUGCAAUCUUCCACCGUCGGAGAAAGCCGCCCAGAGCUGGCUCCAUCCUCAACACCUUUUAUCUUCAGCUGGAAAUAAUAUUUAAGGUGGUGGCUUCAGCCAUUUGGGCCAGUUACAGAAUUUUCCUGGAUCCCGCCCAUAUAUACAGGAGGCAGGAGCUCAAGCCCCAACUGCAGAGGCGAACAACGGUGCUGAGCCAAGCCGGCUCCUGGCCGGCUCCCCUUUGGGCUCAAGGAUUAGGCUUGUCAUGAUUCCAGGGCUGAGCCAGGGCCUGUGUCAGGCACAGAUGGAGGUGAGAGUUUUUUCUGUGGCCCAAUCAGUGUCCAACCCAGAAGCUGGGUGGGGCUCUCACUGGGCUUGGGUGGAGAUCUUUGUCACCAGGCUCAGACCAGUCUAUGACCAAGGUCAGGGCUCAUCCUGGGAUCAGGAACAGGGAGAAGCAGCCUUUGGUCCCUCCCAGGACAGACCCACCUCAUGAUUCCAACUUCAGGAAGGUGCGUCAGGCUGCUGGGCGGAGAGCCACAGGCCUAAGGCUCCUGGACGACUGCAGAGUCUCUGGUGAAGGUGAUGCUCCUGAGCUGAUGCCCAGAGCUCCUGGUCCACCAUCAGGUGUGUCUUCGGGGAUGUGACCUCCGACCUCCCCUGCAGGCCCUCACCCGAGGACCUGCCCUCCAGAACAGUGUCGCGUGUCACCUCUGACACGCGUGCCAUAGGUUCGCCAUCACUGUUCUAGAACUAUGCACACGUUGACUGGCUCCUUCC